UAGAUAGAUAGAUAGAUAGAUAGAUAGAUAGAUAGAUAGAUAGAUAGAUAGAUAGAUAGAUAGAUAGAUAGAUAGAUAGAUAGAUAGAUAGAUAGACCAAAACUCUACAUAAAACUAUCAAAUUUUUCGCAAGAUUUUUAUAUAGAUAUCCACUAUCUCCUGGUUAAUCACAUAUGAAAAAAAAAUGAAAACAUGCAUCUUUGUGAUAAAUUAUUUUAAGUAUGAUUACAUACACCUAAGAGUCGCUUUGAAAAACACGACAGGUUUUUUUAAACAAAUUUUAAAUUGAGUUCUUGGACGAUAAUGAUCAGGUGCACUGCAAAGAGAUUUUUUUUCCAAAUUGUGCACAGCAAGCCGAAAGGUCUGAAAACCCCUGUCCUAGAGGUAGACUCUGUCUUACAAUCAUGAAUGUUGAGCUGCCAAACGAUUGCAGUACAUGGUGUAGUCCCUCGAGAUUCUGCGAUCAAAAUGUUUUAACUUAGAAAAUUCCGGGAAUAAUCUCUGAAGUAAUCUAUAAAAGAACUUGUGGAUGCAUUCUUCAAGGGGUCUUAGGAAGAAUUCGUGGAAGAAACACUAGAGAAAUAAACGGAGGAAUAUCACGAGCACACAUUGAAAGUAUUACUGAAAGUAUAUAUGAGUCUCAAGAGGAGUUUUAGCAAAAUUUCCUGGAAAAUGGAUGAUGAUCUACAGGAUAAUUUAUUCAGGUAUAAACGAAGAAAUUCAUUAAAAAAAACAUUCCUAGCAAAAAAUUUGAGAAUCUCACGUUCUGCUAGAAAAUCCUAAUCCUAUCACCACAACAUUUUUUCAAGUUUUGAAUAUCGCACAUGAAAUGCUGCCAUAUGAAUAUUUGCUACAACAUUUGCGCCACCUAGUGAGCCAAGCCUAUCCAACAAAAGUUAAGUGUGGUGAUCACAUGAGUUGGAAAUUUGAUGCCUGCAGACAACUGAUUUUGUCCGAGGCAUAACCAAUCAGUCCAAGGAUGCCUUGGAUACAACGCCGAUGAUAUUGUUUGUCGUUGCUUUUCAGUGCAAUUUACCAGCAUGCUUUGAUUUGGCCGUUUUUUCGACUUUGAUAUAUACUGACAAGCUGUUGUCGCCGAAUGUGUUUGUCCCAUAUGAUGACAUAUGAGGACAACGUUAACUUAGGCUGAGCAUUACGUCAAACGUUAUCCAAUGACUCUAACAAAAACAUCUGCCAGUUUGUUAAUGUUUGAAACGGACAACUUGCAAAGCUAACAUAUGAGGGAUCGGUGUCAUUUUUCUCCACAUUCUUUCUAGUCUGCAUAGCUAUCGCCGCGUCGUCGCAGCCGUCGUAUCCCACAUGUGGGAAAACUUCCGUUUGAUUAUGAUACCGUUAAAGCGCAGAGGUGGCGAACAAUGAUAAUUGCAUUGCGCACAAAGAAUCAACCACUUUUCCACCAACAAGCACCAGCAAGACAAAAACAAUGCCCUCGCGGAUGGAGAGGCUUGUCGCCAUCGUCGCCGUUUGAAUCAUCUUGCGUGAAACUCUCCAAUUUUCACACUGCAAAUUUCAAGAACAAAAACCACCCGCGGAAUCCACUCUCGGGUGCUGACAUAAUUACUACGGUACGGUCGAAAGAGGAGAGAACGCGGCGAGACGACCAACCGUCAUCAUCGUCGCCAUGGCAACGUUCGCGCUAUUCGCCUACUUUGUGACGUUUCUCAUUCAGCGUUUCAUAUUUCACAUGUAUUCACUGAUAUGGGAAAAGACGACGCGUAAGAUCAUUAACGCGCUGCUCUGCUGAAUCCCUUCCAUUACGAUUAUGAAAAGAAACCUUGUUUCAUGGUGGGGAGUUCAAUACAGGUGUCCCCAAGCUCUCAUUAAAUAGGUUUGUUUAUCUACCAUUUUGUCUGCAGUUCACAGAACGACUGACUAUUAAAUGGAUGCCUUUCUCUCAUAUUAUCGUGCUCCUCUAUUGGUUUAGAAUUGUGGAUAAACGCAUGCGAGCCCUGCCCCCCUGCCCGUCACUCUGUGGGUGUUCCUUUUAAUUGGGUAUGGAAAUUAAAUUGUGCAAUUUGUUCAACUCUGGAUUGCUAAUUAAGUGCGUCAUGGACCGAUGAGGAUGGGGUCGAUAGGUUAAUCAGAAGCGAUUUAGAAUGUUUGCAUUGCUUCUCAAUUGGUUGAAACCAGUAAUUUAACCGUUGGUUAUGUGGGCUUUAGCCAUUUGUGGGAUGAUGUCAUUUGAUACAUAGCAAUCGUUCCUGUCAAACGGGUUAAUUACUUCUUGUACACUGAAGGAAAUUUCUUAUUAAAACUACUUGGUGUUGUUGAUUGAAACUAUUUUGUACAACAACAAACCCAAAUCGAAGCAACCCACAAAUCACGCAAGCUGUGAAAAUAACAAUAAAUACAAACGCCAAGCCUACUACGUUGGGAGUACUUGUUGUAAACUCGUAAAUGUCAUCACCGUCAGUAAUAUUGAUCCGCAAACCAAACGAAAACGACGUGACACUUUGGAGCGGCUUGUUAAUUUAUAUCUUCACAUUUUCAAUUGGAACUCUCGACGAGCCCCAUGUUACACACGAUCAUCGAUGAUCGCGGUGAUCCUUCAUCCACAUCAAACAGUCCCAAACGGUACACGACGGAUACCGAUCCUUUAAAUUGUUCAGACUGAAAAGCAGACGACUUCUCUCAUGCCGCCAUUGUUUCUAGUUUUCCUCCCAGCGCCAGCGUUCGUGUGUUCUUCUGAGCUAAUCCACUGGAAAAACUCCAAACGCUGAACAAAGUUGACAUUUCAAUUCGCCGCUUGCCGGUGCGGUGUCCCGACGACGACGUGGAUCACAUUUCUUCCAGUCACAGUGUUUGAAGAUCACCACGUCCAAGUCUAGCACGAUUCUAUGCACGCUCGGAAUGGUUCACACUCACAGUUGUUCUCGUUGAACAGAAACGGCAAGCCGUUAACAGGCGACACACCUUUCUAUGAAGCAUUUUCAGCGUGCAUUGGAAGCUGCAACCCGCGUCGAACCGGUGUUAUUCUGCACAUCGAAGUAACCUGUGCCAAGCGGGUCACUUCAAAAUGCCACAGAGCACAUCGCAGCAAGCGCCGCCGCGUCGAUGAUGAUACCAAUCGUUUAUACCCAUCUCCACAGCACAGGCAUGUAACUUUCGUAAUCUCUCGGUCACGUCCUCGGGGUAAAACAAAUUCUGCAAUGGCGGUGACAAAUUGCCCAAUGGUAAAUGCUUUUUUAAGUUCGAAAUAAUGUAUUCUCCCAAUUCAGGCGUUAUAAACGCAUAAAACAUUUUAAUUAAUGAAGGUCCUCAUCGCUUUGCUGUGUCAAUUGACAGUUACAAAAUCGUUGCUGCCCGUCAAUCGAUUUAUUGCGAGGUGAAUCUGAAACAAAAACCUGUCGUUUCACACUCGAGUACUCGACACGACAGCCCUGGAUAUGGAAAUUCGCAUUCGGACGACAUUCCUGAUCGAUGACAAGUUUUCGCUUCAACGUGCGUGAAUCAGUGCGAUGAACCACCCGCGCUUCGAACAGGUUUAUUUUAUCGUCGUUGUUUUUUUAGUCUGAUCGUCAAGCUUUAUUUUACAAGCAGCUUGCUUGACACACGCCCAGCCUGCUGUGUGGCGUCCGAUUUCGAGUUCGUCGCUUCGCCUGCUGCGCAUCGAUCGCAGCCUGCUCUUCAUGCAGUCGUCAGUGUUGUGCAUUAUUGAUCACACACUAAUUCAUUCAUCAUUCCGGCCGACCGAGCGGUGCGAGAGCAUCCCAUCCUCCCCAUUAGCAUAAUUUGAUGCUGUUUUUCCGCCAAAUUGAGAUUCAUUUUCUCUUCGCCUCGACUAGUGGUGGUCUCUCAUGGGCUCACCAAGGCUCGAACACAUUAUUGUCGUCAGUCAGUGGGACAGGAAAUUGGCAAGAUCACCGUUAGUUAAUUGAAGCGUCCGCUGGUCGGCCCACCCGUCCGGAAUCGAGGCUACACGAAUUUAGGGAAAAGAGAGUGCAAACUUACUUUUCACGGUCGGCUCUUGGCCCGGCCUUCGGCCAGUUCCCGUCAUCGCAUCGGCGAAUGCAGGUCAAUCCGGUUGGUCCAACAAUCAGACGUUUCCCUUCGGCGUAAUUGGAGAUAAUUUGCUGGGAAUCGUAGUCAAAUGAAAGCGAAAACUCUGUUUCCGAAUUGAAAUAAUUUGGAAAAUUUGUUACAAACUCAAAUCGGGUUUUAUCAAUGAGCAAAACAGGUCAAAUUUGCACAUAAACAACAAUUCGUUCAUCCACGAGGAUCGUAGCAGGCUGUGCGCGCGAGCGGCUACAUUUUCAAAACUGCCACUCGUUUUCUUUGCUCCGCGUUGUUUUGAAUAUGGUCGGCCGAAUUGAGAAACAACUAAUAGUGCUAUGCCUUCCGCAAAUUUUACCUCGAAUAGUGCUUGCAAAUUGGUUGUCGGUGUUCUGUAGGAUAAUUCGCGAUCUUUGUGAAAGUUUGUCUUAUUCCCUUCUGGGUGCCGAAGUUUGUCUUCAUUUUUGCGUAUUUCCGUGUAUUUUUUGAUGAUAUUGCUGCCAGAUGUCUGGAAGACGCAAAUGGAAGUCACAAAUUCGUCUCGAGAGUACUGAAAUUCGUAAAAUGUGAUGAUUGUGUUCUUGUAUAUCGUUUUGGUGCCUAAACGUUGAUCAAACGUAUUCUUUGUACUUAACCUUUCCACUAAAACCACCAAAAUUCCCGUGAUACCUACGCUUAAGAGGACGGAGAGGUCUCUACAUACCUUUCAUAUGAAGAAGAAGGAUCUUCCUUUCCUAUCCCACAGUUGUCGCAAGGACGUAGCCAAGACAACAUCAGUUUGUAAAGUUGUACACUUUAUCAAACCAAAGCAAUCUAUUUUGCUGCUCGAUCAUCUCCUGAGCUACUGGGAAAUCCUAGAACAACUCUCUGCAAGCAGGCAACAAAGUUCCCCCAAAAACACCAUCAAUUAUUCAUGAACGGGUCAUGGGUUGGACUGAAUCGCAGAUUUUUUUAAUGAAUAAAAUUAGUCGCGCCGGUGUCCCCACCGGCAGCCACCCCACGAGAUCUAGUAAGCGUAAAAAACCAGGGGGAAGUAAACCACACGCAUGCAUCCACAUUCAUUCAAGUAGGCGGGGGCGGGGACAGGUGUGAAUUCAAUUUUCAAAAGCCUGCUUCGUUUGCUAGAUUGGAGCACCCAGCCAGCCAGCCUGCUAGUUUGAGAGGUUAUAAAUUGCUGCUUCGAAUUGCCUUUCUCUCUCCAUUACCGCAGCAGAUCGGCCCCCAAACCGAACCGGGCGAAGGUAAUCGAAUCGCGUCGUAUGCUAAUGUGGAACGAACUACAUAUACCCAACUCGUACAUAGUAGAUCGAUUCCAAUCUAACUAGAACAAGUUUUUUGAUUUAUUUCUCCGCCGGGCGGGUUUUACUUCCCAACCAUACCGCGUCGCCUGCGCUAGUCGUCGCCAAUUCAUCCAUGCGAUACUUGUCCUGCGAGUGACGAGCCCACCAAUCAAUCCGAUAUAUUCCUCGGUGAUUGUACACUGAGAAAAAAAAGAUGUAAGAUAUGGAAGCUAUAAAAAGUUAGUCGGAUUUUUGGUCGAAACGUCGAAAUUAUUUUUCUAUCGCGAUGCUAUGAAACAUAUUUGAAAUCGUAAACAAAGAACAUUAAAAUAAUAUUGCUAAUUUAGAGAUAAAUUUCCGUUUUACGGAAGAUUGAAAAAGCUACCGUAGCUGUCAGACUACUGAUUUUCACUGAGUUAUCAUCAAACGGGUCAAAGAUGCCUUGGAUACGACGCCGAUGAUCAUUGUUUGUUGUUGCUUCUCAGAGCAAUUCACAUUGCAAGCAUAAUUUUGCCGUUUUUCUUUUUGAACCUGGGUUGGAACUGGAUUGGCGGAAAAUGUGUAAACAAACAAACGUCAAACAAACACAAACAAACUUUAGUACAAGCGAAACCGAAGUCGGGUUGGGGUUGAAACUGUGAUCUCAUCCAGUUCCAACCCAGGUUGGAACUGGAUCAAAAAGAAAAACGGCAUUUGAUUAGACCAUAUGUUUCAAUGAUAUGAUGAUUUUCACUGCUGCGGUGGGACUUUAACAGCUGCGGUAGAACUCGGCGGCUACCGCAAAGUGGAUUUUUUUUCAAAAAAUCCGUAAUAUGUAUUUUUUAUUCAGUAUGCUUUGGAUUUAUGCCUAAUUAUCUCAAGCAUUGAAUGAAUAUUAAAAAAAAAAUUGCAGAUCAAUGUGCGGAUAGGGACGGGAAUGAUGAUUGCCAACUCAUGUUGCCAAUAGGCCAUUCCCAAGCAGCACACAAGUCACAAAAGGAGUAUCGACAGCGCAGGUGUUUGGUUUACAGGAGCUACAUUCAUGUAAUUUUAACUCUAAGGCAGAAAAACUUGAAAAUGACUCUUGUCCAACCAAAAACCUGCGCUGUCGACAUUUCUUUGUGAUUUGUGUGCUGCUUGGGUUGAGUCCUCUGCGCCUGCACAAGGUCAUGCGGAUGUCGGAGUGUUGUUGGGAAAUGUCUAUAUUUGGCAUAGUGGUUCACGCAUUGGUGCGUGAAUGCCAGAAGUAAAGUGAUUGCGUCGAGUGAAGAUUACUGUGAAGCAGCACAGUUCGCUUGGUUCGAUAACUUGUAGGCGUUUAGUUUAGAUUGAUUUGAUUUAACUUUGCUGUGAAAGUUGAAAGUAAGAGAAACGGCUCUUAUUUAAUCCAUUUUUACUUCUAGCGUUUUCUAUGAACAUACUUUCAUACGUGGAGUAUAUGUAGGGAAGAGAGUAUAGAGAACUAAAAUAUAAAGAUAUAAAAUAGGAAGAAAGCAACUAGCCAAGGAUUUUUUUUUUAUCUGUAAUAACGAGAUUUUUAGCCCUGGGCUAGUUCAUCUCGGGACCCACGCUUUACUUCCCUUCCGAAGGAAGAACUCACAUUUGGCGAGUUUGUCGGGAGUGGGAUUCGAUCCCAGGUCCUCGGCGUGAUAGUCAAGUGUUCUAAAGCCAAGGAUUUGCCACAACCUUCGGCAUAUUAAUCUAAAGCGGUAACCACUAGACGGUGUCGUGUUCGGCCAUUUGGCCGAAUGCCGUUUGACAGAAUUAUUAUCAAAAGGAUUUGGAGGCGUGGGCAAACUCUGGAUAACAUUCUAGCUACCAUUAUGAUCAUUAGAAAUAUUGCCUUCCUUUUGAUCAUAGGAUAUUCUUUCUAGUUUUACCAUUAAGGGUUAAGUUGGCGUUGAAACUGAGAAUAUUUUUGUCAGAGAUUUUUCCUUCUUUGGUUCAUAGGCUGUUCUUUCGAGUUAUACUAAUAUAGGAAACAGUGACAUUCGGCCAAAUGACCCGGAACCGAUGUUUUGGCGAAGUUCUUUGAAAAAGGUCUGGAGAAGUUUAUGACGGAAACGUUAGAUAUAUAGAACGAAAUUUUAGUAAUUUUUCUAUAAUUUUUUGGAGGGGUUUCUAUGAAAAGUAUUGUAGGGUUUACUUUUUUCAAUUCUGAAAAAAAUGGAUAAAGCUGCUUUUUUACAAAAUUCCGAGAGAUAUCUCAAGAUUUAUUUGAAGAAUUUUGCGAAAAUUGGAUUUCUAUUCAACUUUUGAAACUAGAAACCAAAGAAAAGAAAUUCAGAAUUCCGUGGGAAGUUUCACAAACAAUUCAUCGCCAAGAUUUUACAAACGCUUUCCGAUCCGCAGUCAAUACUUUAAUACCAAGAGCUAUUUUGAACUUGGUAGUAAUAUGAGGUCCGCGAGUAGUUCCUUCCAAUUCCACAUUCUCAAAUUCCUAAUGUAAAAUGAUGUAACAUGAUUUUUUUAAGAAUUGCUUUACUCACCGUUGAGGAGACAACUUAUUAGUCUUUCAAAAGAUUUACUAAAAUUGUCUGAAACUAUUUUUUGGUCAGUUGCAUGAAAUUACUUCUUCUCAUUCUGUAGGACUUUUUUUCUGAGAAUUCUGUCAGAUAAAUGAAUCAAAUGGUUGUCAUAAGUUUCAUCCUUAUUAUUUUAUUUUGAUGGUCAUGUUAACCUUCCUAAUGCAUCACUUUGGGAAUAGAUCGGUGACGUAGAGUACGGGUAGAAAACCCACGACUUUUUGUGGCAUAUUCCGACUUUUUUGGGUUGUGAUAAUUUGUGUCGUCCCCCGUGAGAAUUAGUGGGAAAACUCUUGUACGACGAAUUUUCCAUAUAGGCAAUCUAGGGGAUAAUUCCCUUGGAGUUGUCUGGAGUAAUUUCCUGAAGAAUGUUUCCCAAAAGUAAAUCUUAAUGUUAUUUUGAGAAUUAUUUGAUAAAAUAAAAAUCGCUGGAGAAAAAAAAAAAACGAAAAUUUGGAAAAUUCCAGAAAUAAUUUCCAAAGGACUUCAUUAAAUAAUUUCUUGAGGAAUUCAUCGAAGAAAAACCUUGUAAAAGAAUCUGUGGAAGAAUGAACAAAGAUAACUCUGGAAUACUUUUUCCAUCAAUCUGUUCAUAAAAUACAAAAUAAAAAUAUAUAGGUUUAUGAACAAUAAAUUGUUAGGGAAUUGAGGAACCAACUCUCAAAUGUCUUUGAAUUAUUUUUUUAUUGAGUAUUUGAAAUAAUCCAAAAAUAAUCGCUGGAGACAGAACCAGGUGAUUUGUGUAAACAUUCUUAAAUGAAUCUGUGAUCGAAUUCUAGGUUAGGUCGCGUAGGAUUCUGUGGAGUAAUUUGCUAAAAAAAAUAUCUGGAAGAAUUCCAGACGGGAUCUCUAGAGAAAUUCUCCAAACAUUAUCUGCAGGGAAUCUCAAACAAAUCUAAAACAUCUCUGAGAGAAUUAUUAUUCUCAUUAACUGGAGAGAUAAGCUCUAUAAAAAAAAAGAAUUUAUGGGAAAUUUUUUGAUGGUCGAAUUUUUGGAAUAGGUAAUAUAUUAAGGAUUUUUAAGAAAAUUUACGAUUAACACUUUUAAAAUUGAUGAAAAUUCUGAAAAACCUGGAAUGAAAUUUGAGAUAAUAUUUGAAAAUAUUAUCUCUAGAGAAAAGAAAGAAUUAAUUUAUAAGAAAGUGCCAGAUUGAAUCUGUGGAAGAAUUUUAAUAAUUACCACCAGAGGAAUGCCUAAAAGAUUUUCUUGAAGAAUUCCGCGAAAAAAAACUGAAUAAAUUUGGAAAAGAAUCACUGAACGAAGAAAUCUCUAGAGUAAUUCUCCCAGAAAUUUCCUGCAUAGAAAUAUUUAAAGAAAUGACGAGACAAAAUGUUGGGGAAAUUCUUGAGAUCUGCAGAGAAAUUCUCAAAUAAAUCUGAACUUAAGAAUCUUUGAAUAAUAGAAUGUUCAAAGCAAUUCCCAAAAAAUUCAGUGGAAGACAAAACCAGGUAAUGUGUGUAAAAUACUCCAAGAAAUAUGUUAACGAUUCAAAACAAAAAUCUAGAAUUAGUCCCGUCGGAUUCUGUGAAGUAAUUUUCUAAAGAAUACCUGCAGGAAUUCCGACAAUUCCUCUAAGGAUAACUCAAAUUAUUUCACCACGGAUUCUUUAGAAAAUUUAUUCUCAAGAUUUUUUUUUCGGAAAUUCCAUAAGUAUCUCAACAGCUUUUUCUUGGGAUCUUGCAGACGUUUAUUUAUGCGUAACUGUAGGUAUUUCUACAGGAUGUUUUUUUUUCAGAAAUUCACCCACAGAUUUCUCCAGGAGUACUUCGAGAAAAUCCUUCAAGAAGUUUAUUACGAGGUUUACGUCACGAAUUUUCCUAUCAAUUCCUUAAAACAUCAUUUCUAGGUCUUUGGUGUAAGUCCUUGUUGGGCUUCCAGAAAAGUUUCUCCUGGAAGAUUACAAGAAAUCUACCUUAAUUUCUUCUACAAUUUUGCUGGCUUUCUUCAGAUUCUUUCAAGAGAUUCAUUAAAAAGUAUUUCCUAAGAUUUCUACAGUGAUACAACUGAAGAUUUUUCCUGUGAGGAGUUUUUUUUAUCUCCAGAGAAUUUUUUAGAAUGUUAGUGAUUUAUUCAGGGAUUUCAACAAGAGAUUUCUUCAAAAGUUCUUCCAUGGAGUUUUUUAGAAACUUCUCUCAAAUUUUCUUUACGAAUUCUACAGGGACUUGUUCGAAAAUUCUUCCCGGGAUUUCUCUAAGACUUUCUCCAGUUAUUUCUGCAGAAAUUCCGAGAAGGAUAUUUGUUUAGAAAUGACUCUCGCGGUUUCAUCAGAAACAUGUCGUGUGAUGUUUAGAUAUUGCUCCAAAGGUUUUUUAAAUGUUCUUCCAGAAAUUGCACAAAAAUACUAAAGAAUUCUUUUAGAAACCCCUGAUGGAAGUUUUAGAAAAUUCCUGGAGGACUGUUUCAAGAAAUCCUUUUAAAACUCCUGGAAAACUCCUAGAAGAAAUUUUUAAAUUUUUAAUUUUUUUUUUCUGACGCAAUUUUUGGAUGAAUGCCUGGGGUCUCCAGUUAGCCUAGCGGUUAAGGCUAUGGAUCGCCAAUCCGGAGACGGCGGGUUUGAUUCCCGUUCCAGUCGGGAAAAUUUUCUCGACUCCCUGGGCAUAGUGUAUCAUUGUAAUUUGCCUCACAAGAUACAAAUUCUUGCAAUGGCAGGCAAAGAAAGCCCUCCAAUUAAUAACUGUGGAAGUGCUCGAAGAACACUAAGUCAGGCCAAGUUCCAGUGGGAACGUAGAGCCAUACAGAAGAAGAAGAAGCCUGGGGUAAAAUGUAGGAUAGUGCCUCAAGUAACACCUUCAGAUAGCUCCUAUUUUCUCAGAAAAAAACAUAAGACAUUUCUGGAGUAACUCUGCAAAUAAUUCCAAGAGAAAACAAAUCUGGAAGGAUUCCUAAAAUGUCCGUAGAGAAGUUUCUGGAAGAAUCUCUUUAAACAUAUCUGCACAAAUCACAGGUAAAGGUUCUGGGGAAAUUUUUGAUAAAACACUCAAUAAAUUUCUAGAUGGAAGCUUUUCUGAAGGAAUACUUGCAAGCACUCCAAAAGAUACCUCUGAAGCAAUUCUUAGAAAAAUGUCUUAUACAAUUUCUGAAAAAAAUUACAGGAAUUGUUGUGAGAAUCUUUGAGAAAAAAAUCUGAAAGAAUCCCUGAACGAAGGUCUGAAUGAAUCCAAAGCAAUGCCUGGAGGAAUACCCGAAGGAUCUCCCGAAAGGAGAAACACCUAAAGGAACUUGCAAAAGAAUUGCUUGCGGAAUUCCUAGAGAAAUUUCCAAAAAAAUUCCCGAGAAAAUCGUAGAAUAAAUGAAGUAAUACUUGAAAGAACCUCUGAAGAAAUUUAAGCAAUAAUUAAAAAAAAAAACCAAACUUUUAAAGAAAAAUCCUAGAGGAUUUUCUGAAAGAAUCUUUGUUAAAAGAUUGUUCCUAAAAUAGCACUUUUUUGCUAGCUUAGAGAUUUUUUUUGGGGAAAUUCCUGGAGAUAUUCCAAGAAUUUCUAGGCAAAUUGAGAAAUCCCAAAGAAAAACUCCCAGAAAAAAAAAAUCAGACAACGUUUUCGAGACAUUCGACACUGAUUCUUCAUUAGGGCCUAACUGACAUUUUCGAUUUCUCUUCAUGGAUCCUCUCUUUGUGUUAUAACAGAAUGUGUAUUGAGUUUUCCCAAAAAAAAUUUGAUUGAAAUGCGAAGGAGAUUACUACAUCUUGCUAUAGAAACAAAAAAAAAUAAUGAUUUUGUUCGUUUUGAUCAAGUUAUUAACGAAAGAGAGAGUCGAUGAAGAGAAAUCGAUCAAGUCAGUUAGGCUCUUAUGAAAAAUCAUUGUCGCAUUCCUUCAGAAAUAUUUGAAGAAAUACAAGCAUGAACCUAAGGAAUUCCAGGAGGAAUUUUGUAUGGUAUUUCUGAGGAAACUUGUGAAUCAUUUUAAAAAUAAAUCUUUUGAGAAACUCCUGAAGAAGUUUGCAGGAAAAUUUCUGGGGAAAUUCCUGAAAGAAUCUUUGGGGGAAUCCCUGUAGAAAUUUUUAAACAAAUGCAGGGAUACAUUCUGAAGGGGCACUAAGUGGAAUCUUUGGAGGAAUUCCUGCUAAAAGCAUUCUAAGAAAUUUUGCAAGAAUCCUUAUUUUGUUUUUUGUUUUGUUUAAAAAAUCCUGAAAAAACAAUCCCAAAACAAUUUCUGGCGGUGUCCCUGGAGCUGGAGGUAGGGAGUAUUUUCUAGAAAUUAUAUGACAAAUUCUUGCUAAAAUUAUAUAAAUACAGAAAAAUUUUGUGAAAUAAUAGUGCAUGGAGCUAAAGGAACCUCUGGAGAGAUUCGAGCGAUAAUUUUGGAAAAGUUUCUGGAAAAUUUUCUAAAUUUCUAAAAGAAAACCCUAUAGGAAUUUCUGAAAGAAUCAUUGUGAAAAUAUUGCUUCUGGAAUUGUACCUUUUGAAAAGACGGUUGGAAGAAUUCCUGCAGAAACCCCUAGAGAUAUUCCAAGAAUAUCUUGACAAUUUUUUAGAAGAAUUUAAAGAGAAAUCCUAAAGAAAAGCUCUUAGAAAAAAUCAAACUACGUUUUUAGGAGGAACUCCUUCAGGAAUAUUCGAAGAAAUACAUGAAGAAAUACAAUCAUGAACUUAUGUAGCAAUGCUUGAAGAAUUUUCCUAUAGAAUCGCUUAAGGAAUACCAGAAAGAAUUUAGGAAUGUAUUUCUGAGGAAACCCGUGGACCAUUUUCAAGACGAAUGUUUCGAGAAAUUUCUUGAGAAACUCCUGAAUGUUUUAAACAAAUGCAUAGGCUGGGCAAGGAUACAUUCUGAACUUCAGAAUAUGAAGGGACACUACGAGGACAAACGUUCCAGAAAAGUUUGAUAAAUCCUAAAGGAAUCACAAAAGGGAUUUCUGGCGGUGUUCCUGGAGGUAAUCCUGGAGUAUUUUCUUGAAAUUUUGUGAGCAAUUCUUGCCAAACUUAUAUAAGGAUUUCGAACAAGAAUGUCCUUUUUGCGAUAAUUACAGUAACAUUUUGUGAAAUAAUAGUGCAUGGAAGGGUUCUCGGGAACAAUUCUUUAUUAGGCAUGAAGCAUGAUAGUAAAAUCAUUUCCAUGGGGGCGGAAACCUUGAGAAAUCAGCUCAAAUUUUACCAUGUGACAUGUCUACACUUUGAUGUCCGUGCUGGGGAAUAGUUAGCAUGCCCUGAGGAACUAAUUUAUAAAUCCAUCAUAUAUCCUAGAAUUGCUUUUACACAUGUUUUCAAUUAUAUAAAAAUACAAAUUUGGUUUGUUUACAUUUUUCUGUCAAAACUAAAUCUAAUCUCUGAAUGAGUGUAAUCAGUUUUAUACCUUUUAAUUUGCGCCCUAUUUUGCUUAUCCUUUGACAGAUAUGCGUAUUUCGAUAACCAUGACUGUGUGGAUAACUGACACUGAGGAAGAUUACAAGAGGUAGUCGAAAUACGCGUAUCUGUCAGAGGAUAAGCGAAAUAGGGUGGAAUUAAGAUACAAAACUGAUUACACUCAUUCGAAGAGGGUGUUCUGGUUAGAGGGUUCGAAAAGUCGGUAUAAUAUAAAUUUAAUCGUUAGUUACGUAACAAUGCUUAUGGGAAUAUUCCUUUUGAAACUACUGAAUGGGACACAAUCAGUGAAGUACUAGAUUGAGAGUAGUGAACUGGAUUUUUGUAUGGUGAGAUGAUCAAAUCUCAUCGAAUUUCUUGCAACUUCAACAAUACAGUUACGCAAACUUUUGCUCAAACAGUAUCAAAUUAGGCAAAAAACUAUAAUACCCACGCUGUUUGCACCAUUUAAUUGCAGAAAUGGAUCUGCUUUCAAUCUAGUACUUCACUGAUGGCGUCCUAUUGAACCGGAGCUUAUCCUGACAAGUUUAUUAAAGCAAGCUUGAAAGCUCUCCAGAUAUUUCGAGUGCAAUUGACUCUUACUACGCUCGCUCCAAUACUUUUAGAAAGAAGAAGAUUUCUUCUGGUUGGAAUCAAAAUUGCUAACGUGGAAAGGUGUAAAUUUCGAAAGCAGUUUCGGCCUCUAUUUAAUAAGAAUCCUCCAAAAAAGUUUUGGAAAGAUUGUUUAUACAACUUUGGUUGUGACUGUCUCAUACAAAAUCUUAUGAAAAUUUCUAAAAAAAAUCUAAAAGAGUUAUUUUUUUCGGGAAUUUAAGGAAAAAAAUGCAAGAUUUUUUUUUAAAUACCAUCUACCCCCGUUGGUUUGAACGACACCUCAUGCAAACCAAAGGGAUUCAUUUUUAAUUUGAACUUCUAGUAACCUGAUUUGCUGUUUUGUUUUGAUUUUGCGUUCCGUUUCACUCCGUUCCAUGGGAAGAAUGACGUUUGGACCAUUUUUAGUUUGAACGAUGUACAGAUUAGCGGGGGUCAAAUUAAAAAGUAUUCAGAUUAGAUGAGAUCAAACCAACGGGUGUAGACGGUAUUGAAAUUAAUUUAAAAAAAUAUGUAUCCUCACAGCAUCUAUCAAGUAAAUCGGCAUUGAUUUUCCUUCAGUGCAUCACCUACACGACGCUUUGUGUGUUCUCUCGCUCCCAAGCUGCGCACCGUUAUUGAAAUGUGCGAUUUAGGAGUUGCACGAUCGACGCGCAAAGCCUUUUGUUCCUGCUCCUCGAUUCUUUCGUUUGGAGGGCCAACCACGAGGCCUAUACCUAGUAGGUGACAGAUUAUUCGCAAACUGUCAAUGGAUGGAUUGGAUUGGCAGAGUUUGAGCAUGAGCUUGAGGAAGCUGACAAUGCAGUUCGAAACGAAACUCACUCGGUUGUCGUCUCGAUUCUUCUGAGGGCGCACCUUGAUUUAAAUUUUAGAUUCGUCGCCUACUGCGCCCGUUUCGACUCGUCGUGGUGGAGUUGCCUACUUACUUGGGGGAUCGAAGUUGACAGUUAGGUUUCGGAACGGAACGGUUCUGCUGCGGAUAUUUAUAUCCUUUUAUGAAAGGCGGUGACCCCUUUUUCCAAUUCAAUGCUUCAAUCAACUCCGCGUCCGCGAGAGAGCGAGAACCAUUGUACCUUCAUACAGCGUGAAGGUCUACCUCCCAGUUUGCUCCGAAAUUGUCGGAAUGAUGGUUUAUCGAAUAUUAAGAUAUGGAAAUGUCUUGCGUGACCAACCUCAAUGCAGACGACGGGAGCAGCGACGAGAGUUACUUUCACCGAAAGACCUUAACCUCUCGGUCUCGAUAUAUCGAUUGGCACCCUCCUCCUCCGAAUUGGAAUCGGAUUAAGCGAAAACCGCUAAUUAUCCGUCACCUUGGUUCGUUUGAAACCUCGCUGACUGAAGUUUUUAUGACCCAACCUCAAAGGCGUACACACUUGAAUAUUCUUCGGUCGUAAACUGCGCAUCCAGUUGGCCGUGAUAUUUUCGCGUACGCGAAGAUGACAGCUGGUUGGAUAGGGCAAGGAUCGCAGCAGCCUUGCAAUUAGAUAAAUUUUACGGCGUUGCUUGCCACCUUGGAAGAUUGUGUUUGAGGAUGUGUUGAGCAGAGGUUCCACCCUGAGGCAAUACAGUAAACAGUGGGUUUCUUAAUACAUACUACGGAUUGACAUAUCUGCUAUAUACUAAAUCAGUAUUCAUUGGUUGAAAUUUCAAUAACUUUCCAGUAAAUUCUUAAAUUACGUUUACGAGAAUUCGUACGUUUUUAUCGAUUCUAAUCUUAUUUUUUUCUUCUCUAUUUCAGGGUAAAAGAACUCACUAGUUUAAUUCGAAUAUUGAUAAAUGUCGAACGGUUUCACCGCUGGUACUAUCGGUUUACCACUACGAUAUUCGGAACGCUUGACAGUAAUCAUCCAUCGAACUCAAGAACCCAAUAUUCAUUCGCUUCGUUCCCAGUGCAAAACUGCCAACGACAGGAACCGUGCACUGACAACGACGACGAAAACGUGGAAAAUCGUGUGCCGUCGAUGUCGACCGUGUGCCACUACUGACUACUGACAGUAAGAGAUCCAACUAGCUUCAUAUCUUCCUAAAGGUCACUUCUCAGCACCGCAAACAGCACAUCCUGCAAACUUUCCCAGUGAUCUCGGAAUCAACAAGCAACCCAGAAAGGUAAGCCACCGAACGGUACUCCACCGGAGAUAACUCACCUAGAUUGCGUAAGCUUUCCCCAUUUCCCCCCACGAACUCGGUUCAGAACUGGCUGACAGCAGAAAUCUGUUUUCCACGUUCCCGGGGUCGGAACCGAGAAAAAAUUAAACCGAUAAACUUCACCGAUUAAAUUACACAAUUUAUUAUCGGAGUAUUUACCUUGGUGUGUUGUAGCCGCCGCAUGCAA